GUUUGAUCCUGGCUCAGAUUGAACGCUGGCGGCAUGCUUUACACAUGCAAGUCGAACGGCAGCGCGGGGGCAACCCUGGCGGCGAGUGGCGAACGGGUGAGUAACGCAUCGGAACGUGUCCUGUAAUGGGGGAUAACUAGUCGAAAGAUUAGCUAAUACCGCAUACGCUCGAGAGAGGAAAGUGGGGGAUCGCAAGACCUCACGUUACAGGAGCGGCCGAUGUCUGAUUAGCUAGUUGGUGAGGUAAAGGCUCACCAAGGCGACGAUCAGUAGCAGGUCUGAGAGGAUGAUCUGCCACACUGGGACUGAGACACGGCCCAGACUCCUACGGGAGGCAGCAGUGGGGAAUUUUGGACAAUGGGGGAAACCCUGAUCCAGCCAUGCCGCGUGCAGGAAGAAGGCCUUCGGGUUGUAAACUGCUUUAGUCUAGGAAAAAGGGAUGAUGGAUUAAUACUCCGUUGUUUUGAUGGUACUGGAAGAAUAAGCACCGGCUAACUACGUGCCAGCAGCCGCGGUAAUACGUAGGGUGCGAGCGUUAAUCGGAAUUACUGGGCGUAAAGCGUGCGCAGGCGGUCCGUUAAGACAGUCGUGAAAGCCCCGGGCUCAACCUGGGAACUGCGAUUGUGACUGGCGGGCUAGAGUGUGUCAGAGGGGGGUGGAAUUCCACGUGUAGCAGUGAAAUGCGUAGAGAUGUGGAGGAACACCGAUGGCGAAGGCAGCCCCCUGGGAUAACACUGACGCUCAUGCACGAAAGCGUGGGGAGCAAACAGGAUUAGAUACCCUGGUAGUCCACGCCCUAAACGAUGUCAACUGGUUGUUGGAUGGGUUUACCAUUCAGUAACGAAGCUAACGCGUGAAGUCGACCGCCUGGGGAGUACGGUCGCAAGAUUAAAACUCAAAGGAAUUGACGGGGACCCGCACAAGCGGUGGAUGAUGUGGUUUAAUUCGAUGCAACGCGAAAAACCUUACCUACCCUUGACAUGCCAAGAACCCUGCAGAGAUGCGGGGGUGCCGCAAGGAACUUGGGCACAGGUGCUGCAUGGCUGUCGUCAGCUCGUGUCGUGAGAUGUUGGGUUAAGUCCCGCAACGAGCGCAACCCUUGUCACUAGUUGCUACAUUUAGUUGGGCACUCUAGUGAGACUGCCGGUGACAAACCGGAGGAAGGUGGGGAUGACGUCAAGUCCUCAUGGCCCUUAUGGGUAGGGCUACACACGUCAUACAAUGGUCGGUACAGAGGGUUGCCAACCCGCGAGGGGGAGCUAAUCUCACAAAGCCGAUCGUAGUCCGGAUUGGAGUCUGCAACUCGACUCCAUGAAGUCGGAAUCGCUAGUAAUCGUGGAUCAGCAUGUCACGGUGAAUACGUUCCCGGGUCUUGUACACACCGCCCGUCACACCAUGGGAGUGGAAUCUGGCAGAAGUAGGUAGCCUAACCGCAAGGAGGGCGCUUACCACGCUGGGUUUCAUGACUGGGGUGAAGUCGUAACAAGGUAGCCG
rnacentral:rRNA from 1 species